GACGAACGCUGGCGGCGUGCUUAACACAUGCAAGUCGAACGGAAAGGUCUCUUCGGAGACACUCGAGUGGCGAACGGGUGAGUAACACGUGGGCAAUCUGCCCUGCACACCGGGAUAAGCCUGGGAAACUGGGUCUAAUACCGGAUAGGACCACUUGGCGCAUGCCUUGUGGUGGAAAGCUUUUGCGGUGUGGGAUGGGCCCGCGGCCUAUCAGCUUGUUGGUGGGGUGACGGCCUACCAAGGCGACGACGGGUAGCCGGCCUGAGAGGGUGUCCGGCCACACUGGGACUGAGAUACGGCCCAGACUCCUACGGGAGGCAGCAGUGGGGAAUAUUGCACAAUGGGCGCAAGCCUGAUGCAGCGACGCCGCGUGGGGGAUGACGGCCUUCGGGUUGUAAACCUCUUUCACCAUCGACGAAGGUCCGGGUUCUCUCGGAUUGACGGUAGGUGGAGAAGAAGCACCGGCCAACUACGUGCCAGCAGCCGCGGUAAUACGUAGGGUGCGAGCGUUGUCCGGAAUUACUGGGCGUAAAGAGCUCGUAGGUGGUUUGUCGCGUUGUUCGUGAAAUCUCACGGCUUAACUGUGAGCGUGCGGGCGAUACGGGCAGACUAGAGUACUGCAGGGGAGACUGGAAUUCCUGGUGUAGCGGUGGAAUGCGCAGAUAUCAGGAGGAACACCGGUGGCGAAGGCGGGUCUCUGGGCAGUAACUGACGCUGAGGAGCGAAAGCGUGGGGAGCGAACAGGAUUAGAUACCCUGGUAGUCCACGCCGUAAACGGUGGGUACUAGGUGUGGGUUUCCUUCCUUGGGAUCCGUGCCGUAGCUAACGCAUUAAGUACCCCGCCUGGGGAGUACGGCCGCAAGGCUAAAACUCAAAGGAAUUGACGGGGGCCCGCACAAGCGGCGGAGCAUGUGGAUUAAUUCGAUGCAACGCGAAGAACCUUACCUGGGUUUGACAUGCACAGGACGCGUCUAGAGAUAGGCGUUCCCUUGUGGCCUGUGUGCAGGUGGUGCAUGGCUGUCGUCAGCUCGUGUCGUGAGAUGUUGGGUUAAGUCCCGCAACGAGCGCAACCCUUGUCUCAUGUUGCCAGCGGGUAAUGCCGGGGACUCGUGAGAGACUGCCGGGGUCAACUCGGAGGAAGGUGGGGAUGACGUCAAGUCAUCAUGCCCCUUAUGUCCAGGGCUUCACACAUGCUACAAUGGCCGGUACAAAGGGCUGCGAUGCCGCGAGGUUAAGCGAAUCCUUUUAAAGCCGGUCUCAGUUCGGAUCGGGGUCUGCAACUCGACCCCGUGAAGUCGGAGUCGCUAGUAAUCGCAGAUCAGCAACGCUGCGGUGAAUACGUUCCCGGGCCUUGUACACACCGCCCGUCACGUCAUGAAAGUCGGUAACACCCGAAGCCAGUGGCCUAACCCUCGGGAGGGAGCUGUCGAAGGUGGGAUCGGCGAUUGGGACGAAGUCGUAACAAGGUA
rnacentral:rRNA from 4 species